rnacentral:rRNA from 1 species
CCCUUAGAUGUUCUGGGCCGCACGCGCGCUACACUGAUUCAUGCAACAAGUUUUGUCCUUGGCUGAUAGGCCUGGGUAAUCUUUGAACGUGAAUCGUGAUGGGGAUAGAUGAUUGCAAUUAUUCAUCUUCAACGAGGAAUUCCUAGUAAACGCAAGUCAUCAGCUUGCAUUGAUUACGUCCCUGCCCUUUGUACACACCGCCCGCCGCACCUACCGAUUGAAUGGUCCGGUGAAAUCUUCGGAUCUGAGAGAUGUCUGAUUAAUUUCGGACGCCUUUUGGAAAAGUUGUUUAAACCUUACCAUUUAGAGGAAGGUGAAGUCGUAACA